AUGCAGCUGCGUCUCCGUGCGUGGCAUGCGCAGGUGUUGCCGCUUCUCCGUAGUCGCUAUUUCGAGGGUUAUGUUGAUGGCACACUACCGUGCCCUCCGCCAUAUCAUCCGGCGCAUCAUGCUUGGGUGGCUCAGGAUCAAGCCAUCCUCUCUGCUAUCCAAUCCUCUCUCACGGAGGGAGUCUCGUCACUGGUCAUCUUCGGCGCUAUGUCUCAGGACGCGCGGAUGACCCUUCAUACCAGUUUUGCUUCGUAG
rnacentral:rRNA from 1 species